rnacentral:tRNA from 1 species
CCCCGCGUGGCGGAAUUCAGGUAGACGCGCUCGGCUCAGAACCGAGUGCCCAUCGGGCGUGUCCGUUCGACUCGGACCGUGGGGACCA